AAUACUUUUCAGAAGAGUGGAUAAAAUGGAUGAAAUGGAAGAGGAUGAAAUAGAGGAGUUUUCAAAAUACCCUUUACAAGCCUCCAUUUUGAUUGUAUUUCACAAUAUCUAAGACACCAUGCCUGAGAAUGUGCUCUCCUUGCUUGUGGAGUUGAUUAGUGGCCGGUCAGAAGCCAAUGGUGACUUCAGGGUGGAAAUAAUACCCAAUAUUAAAGUUGCUGUCAUGACUUCUCUCAAAAAUACUGAUGACAAGGCAUUUGUUAAUGUUUGUGUCAGACACUAUAGAAUUCAGCAAUUUCAGAUUUUCCCAAGACUUCUGGAACUGACAAGAACCAUUAGGAUUGAAAAUCUGCCACCUCAUGUUGAUAAAAUUACAUAACAAUUUUCUUGGAAAACCCCACAAAUGGAGGAGAAGGAGUAACCAAUGCACAGCUUUUCCCAGAGAAGAGUUCAGCCCUGGUUGAGUUUUCUGACUACCAAGAGAGAGACAAAGCACGAGCGUGGGAGGGGCAGAGAGAGGAAGACACAGAAUCUGAAGCAGGCUCCAGGGUCCGAGCUGUCAGCAUAGAGCCCGACAUGGGUCUUGAACCCACGAACCAUGAGAUCACGACCUGAGCUGAAGUCUGACACCUGACCAUUGGAGCCACUCAGGCACCCCACACCACUGGACAUUUUUAAUUGGCACUUUAUGAGAAGACAAAUGUUUAGUGUGGGUAUCCCUCACCUAGCAGACUUCUACAUUUAAAACGGUAUAAUUCUUAGGACUCAUACUAACCUCCCAAAGUUGCAAAAUAUGAAGGUCCCAUCUCUCUUGCAUACUUGUCACCUUGUCCUUAGCUAGUGUUGACAUCUGAAGAGCUUUUUUUUUUUUUAACAGUUAAUUAUGGUUAUACUCUGGUAAAUGGCUAGUGGCUAAGCACAGUCAAUGUCUCUGGAGAUAAUGUGCAAGUUGGGUUAGCUAAAAGCCUGAGUCUGCACUCCAACCAUUGUGAGCUAAAGAAGCCAUCAGGAGAGGCAGAGUGAUAUAGGGUGUAGUGCAGCAUUUUACAAACUUUUUGUAAACCAUGGGGCACCAUAAAAAUAGGUAUUUUAUAUCUCAACCCAUACCUUAUGUAAAAACAAAAACAUUUGUUGCAAUUUGGAAAAAAAGUUUUGCUGCAACAUGCAUUUCUUGCUAAGGAACUGUUAUACUCUGUUUUCUAUUAUAUUCUGUUUUGUUUUUGUUUGGUUGGGUUUUGAGGCUUUUGUUGUUGUUUAUAUUUUUUUGUUAAGACCCUUAAAAUUCAUAUUGUUGGCAUAGUUAUCAGAGGUUGGCAUUCAGCAAUGACUGACACAAAGGAUUAGGGGGUAGGGGUUUUAACCUUAUCUCCUCUGUCUCCACCAGCCUGCCUCUUCAAGCCAUCCUAAAUAAGCAUACAGUCUGUGUUAGUUUUCUAUUGCUCCAUACCAAAUUUAGUGGCUUUACAUAGCAACCAUUUAUUAUCCUACUUUCUGAGGGUGAGGAAUUUGGGAGCAGCUUAACUGGGUGAUUCCGGAUAAGGAUCUCUCAUGAGGUUGCUAUCAACCUGUUAUUUGGGGCUGCAGUUAUCUGAAGGCUUGAUGGGGACUGGAGAGUUUCUUCUAGGCUCACUCACAUAACUGCUGCCAGAGGCCUCACUUCCCUGCCUUGAGGGCCUUUCCAUAGGGUUGUUAGUGAUGUGGCAGCUGGCUGCCCCCAGACUGGGUUAUCUGAGAGAGAGAGGGUGGCAGGGGAGGGGGCAAGGGCUAUAGUGCCUUUUGUCAUCUAGCGUCAGAAGUGACACAGCAUCACUUGUGCCAUAUUCUGUUGGUCACAGAGACCAACUUUGAUACAAGAUGCAAGGAAGUUAUAGAAAGGCAUGAUUAUCAGGGAUCAUUGGUGCCAUCUUACUUACACAAUCCAAGGAAACACAGCUUUAAGACAAGUUCCACAUACUGCCCCCCUACUUCUAGCCAGAUUGUCACUCCUAAGCCUUCUAUAUAGAAAUAGAGCAUCACUGGCCUUUAGAAUUCCAAAGAUACGUAUUUAAAUUCUAGAAUUUACUAGCUGGAUAGUGAUAGCAAUGUUACUUCCUUACUCUGUUUCCUCAUUUAAAGUGGGUAUAAAACCUAUCUCACAGGGUCAUUAUGAAGAUUAAGUAGGAUAAUAUUUGUACACUGCCUGACACAAACCGGGUAUUCAACAAAUAAAGUUAUUAUAACUAUCAAAUUAGGAAAGAAUGGAAAGCGUAAGUUACUAAUUUGAUGGGAAAUAAUAGAUAUGAAUUGUGUUCUAGAUAAAUGUAGGUCUCAGCUGCUACAGGAUAAAGUGCUAUUAUUAAGUGAUGUUUGAAUAAUUCGGUGUCCUUCAUUUUGAUACUGUUAUCACCUCUGACAUAAAAGUACUGUAAUAAACUAUUUCUACUGGGUAACAUGUAUUUGAAAAUAGGCUAGUCAGGGCACCUGGGUGGCUGAGUCGGUUAAGCAUCCAACUCCUGAUUUCGGCUCAGGUCAAGAACUUAGGGUCAUGAGAUGGAGCCCCACAGCAAAUUCUUUUUCUCCCUCUCUCUCUGCCCCCCAUCACUCCUGCACACCUGUGUGCUCUGUUUCUCUCUAAGAAAAAAAAAAAAGGAAGAAAGGAAGGAAGGAAGGAAGGAAGGAAGAAAAAGAAAUAGGCUAAUGAAUUUAAUUUAGAGAAAAAUCUCCCCUGCCCCGCAAAAAGAAAAAUGGUUGUCUUAGAUGUAAAAUCACAUCCCUAAGUGAUGGUCCAUCUUCUGCUUGGCUGGGAACUCAUUGUCCCCCGAGUUGACCCAUUCUUCCUUAGGACAGUUCUAAUUAUUAAAAAAAUUUAGCAGCAUAUGAAGCCCAAAUAUGUUUUACUUAUUAGUCCUUGGUAUUCCUUUUAAAGUUGUAGAAAUAAAUCCUUUAUAAGAUAACCCUUCAAAUGUUUAAUGACAACUAUUACGUGCAGCUCCCUUCAUCUACUUAUUAUCUGUACUUCUGCAAGUUAAAUAUAUUCAGUUCCUUUUAUAUAUCCUCAUGUGAUGUGGUUUUGAAUCCUUUUACAGCAUCAGUUUCCCUCUUCAGAACACCAUAGCUAGUUUUCAUAAUCCCUUUGCAAUGUUUGGCACCUUAAACUAAGUACCAUACCCCAGGUAUUGCCUAUUUUUACCAGUCAAAAGUAGAAUAGGGUUAUUUAUUCACCAUACAUAUUCUUGUUACUAUGUUUUUUUUUUUUAAUUAUAGCCUCAAAUCUCAUUACUACCCUUUUUAAGAUGAAUGGACUUUAUUUUUAGAACAAUUUUAGGUUUAUAGAAAAAUUAAGCAGAAAGUAAGGAGAAUUCCUCCUACCCCUAGUUUUCCCUAGUAUUAACAUCUUGCAUUAGUGUGGUACAUUUGCUACAAUUGAUGAAAGAGUAUUGCUACAUUAUUAUUAACUAAAUUCCAUCACAUUAGAGCUCACUCUUAGUGUUGGAUGCUUCUCUGGGUUUUGACAAAUGCAUAAUGUCAUGUGUCCUCAAUUAUAGUUUCAUACAGAAUAAUUUCAGUGCCCUGAAAAUCCCCUGUGCUCACCUAUUCACCCUUCCCUUCCUCCUCCAAACUGCAAGCAGCCACUGAUAUUUUUACUGUCUCCACAGUUUUGUCUUUUCAAAAAUGUCAUGUAGUUGGAAUCAUAUAGUAUGUAGUCUUUCAGAUGGGCUCCUUUGCUUAGCAACAGGCAUUAUAUUUCCUCUAUGCCUUUUUGUAGCUUCAUAGCUCAUUUCUUUUAUCUCUGAAUCAUAUUCUGUUUUAUGGAGGCAUCAUAUCCAUUAUGUAUCCAUUCAUUUAUUGAAGGACACCUUGGUUACUUCCAAGUUUGGGCAAUUAUGAAUAAAGCUAUAUUGCUACUAUAAACAUUCAUUUACAGGUUUUGUGUGGACAUAAGUUUUCAAGUUAUUUGGAUAAAUACCAUAAAGUACAAAUGCUGGAUAAUAUGGUAAAAGUAUGUUUAGUUUUGUAAGAAAUUGCCAGACUGUCUCCAAAGUGGCUGUACCAUUUUGCAUUCCCAUCAGCAAUGGAUGAGAGUUCCUACUGCUCCAUGUGCUUCCCAGCAUUUGGUGACUUUUUUUUUCUUCUUCUUUCUUUCUUUUUUUUUUUUUUACAUUUAUUUUUACUUUGAGAGAGACAGAGAUAGCACGAGUUGGGGAGGAGCAGAGAGAGGGAGACAGAAUCCCAAGCAAGCUCUGCACUGUCAGCGCGGAGCCUAAUGCGGGGCUCGAACUCAUGAAACUGUGAGAUCAUGACCUGAGCCAAAAUCAAGACUCAGUUGUUUAACCGAGUGAGCCACCCAGGCGCCCCCUUUUUUCCUUCUUAAACACAGCUACAUCACUGUUGAUUUAUACAGAAUUUACUGUCAACCGAAAUCCCUUAGAUGUUUUUAUACUAGCUGCUAAGCCACACUUUCUUUCUCCCAAACUUGUGCAGUUAUUCUUUGGACUUUUCUUAGUGCCCUUCCUUUCUUUUGGUGCUUCUCCAAAAGUCCUGGGGUCUCUUUUAUUUAUUAGGUUCUUUCAUAAUUCAACUGCUAUAGGUAUUGCUGUGAAGGACUCACAACCUUCUCCAGAGAGAUUGCCUUCAGGAGACUAAAGGCCUGGGAACUGGAGGUAUCUGGGAGUUUACAUUCAUCACCCAACCAGGAUGACCUGUAGACAAUAACUGACUGGUAUGAGGUUCUAAAACCCAGCUCCCUGUCUCAAGGUUGGGAUAACACCAUAAUGCAAUUUAUAUACUCCAGAGCUCCUUGCAGGAUUAGCAGAAGCCAGGCUUAAUCUGAACCACAUUCUCUGUCUUUGUCUCUCACAUCCUACAGGUUUUUCCUGAGGGUACAACUUUAAUAAUUCACAUGAAUCCUCAUCUCAGGCUCUGCUUCUAGGGAAUCUGAACUAAUUUUAUGAAAUUUUUUUAUUACAGCAUGCAAUUGUUUUUAACUAUUUUUGACUAUUACAACUAUUCCUUUAAAAAUGGUAUUGGCUUUACUUCUAACAGUUCAUUUUUAAUUGCUCAUGCAUUAUUGUUUGUAUUUAUUGAAUCUUUAAGAGCCAAGUUUGUUUGUUUGUUUGUUUGUUUGUUUUUUUCAGAAAAAAAAUCACCUCCCUAAUAUUGUAAUGAAUGUCAAUGGGAAUACCAGAUUAAUUGUACAGACCUUCACUACAAAGUAAACAUGAAUGGAAUAGAUCUAUUUCAUUCAGUGCGAAUUGGGUCCAUUGCAUUCAUGAAUGUCACAUCUUUCAUUGAGCUGCCUGACAGUGGUGGUACCAUUUUAGGGACAUAUACUAUAUUGCAGAGUCUCAUUAGUACCAGGAUUUCUUUUUGUGCCAAAGAUUUUGUCUGAAUACCUACCUUUUGCUUUUUCU